rnacentral:tRNA from 1 species
GCAGCGGUGGCUCAGUGGUAGAAUUCUCGUCUUCCAUGCAGGAGACCUGGGUUCGAUUCCCAGCCAAUGAA